GGGGAGGUAGCUCAGUGGUAGAGCACUUGCCUAGCAUGCACAAGGUCUAGAGUCUUCCCCA
rnacentral:tRNA from 1 species